AGCCUAACACAUGCAAGUCGAACGGUAGCACAGAGGAGCUUGCUCCUUGGGUGACGAGUGGCGGACGGGUGAGUAAUGUCUGGGAAACUGCCUGAUGGAGGGGGAUAACUACUGGAAACGGUAGCUAAUACCGCAUAACGUCGCAAGACCAAAGAGGGGGACCUUCGGGCCUCUUGCCAUCAGAUGUGCCCAGAUGGGAUUAGCUAGUAGUGGGGUAAUGGCUCACCUAGCGACGAUCCCUAGCUGGUCUGAGAGGAUGACCAGCCACACUGGAACUGAGACACGGUCCAGACUCCUACGGGAGGCAGCAGUGGGGAAUAUUGCACAAUGGGCGCAAGCCUGAUGCAGCCAUGCCGCGUGUAUGAAGAAGGCCUUCGGGUUGUAAAGUACUUUCAGCGAGGAGGAAGGCAUUAAGGUUAAUAACCUUGUGUGAUUGACGUUACUCGCAGAAGAAGCACCGGCUAACUCCGU
rnacentral:rRNA from 1 species